rnacentral:rRNA from 1 species
UAGGGAAUCUUCGGCAAUGGGGGGAACCCUGACCGAGCAACGCCGCGUGAGUGAAGAAGGUUUUCGGAUCGUAAAGCUCUGUUGUUAAGGAAGAACGAGUGUGAGAAUGGAAAGUUCAUGCUGUGACGGUACUUAACCAGAAAGGGACGGCUAACUACGUGCCAGCAGCCGCGGUAAUACGUAGGUCCCGAGCGUUGUCCGGAUUUAUUGGGCGUAAAGCGAGCGCAGGCGGUUAGAAAAGUCUGAAGUGAAAGGCAGUGGCUCAACCAUUGUAGGCUUUGGAAACUGUUUAACUUGAGUGCAGAAGGGGAGAGUGGAAUUCCAUGUGUAGCGGUGAAAUGCGUAGAUAUAUGGAGGAACACCGGUGGCGAAACGGCUCUCUGGUCUGUAACUGACGCUGAGGCUCGAAAGCGUGGGGAGCGAACAGG